GCUGAGGUAGCCAAGCCAGGACUACGGCGCCAGCCUUGAGAGCUGGUGGGGCUGAUGCCCCACGAGGGUUCAAAUCCCUCCCUCAGCG
rnacentral:tRNA from 1 species